AGUGAGCCCCCGUGAAACAAGGGGCGUCCGGCAGUCCCUUUCCACCUGUCUCCACCCAGAGGAAAACGCAGGGACUGAGACACCCUCAUCCCCUCCCUUCCUGCCCCGCCGCUGGAGCUUUGUAAGCUGGAGCCAGGAAGCCGGAGUGUGGGGAACUUGAAAGGUCUGUAGCCCCUGCUGUGACACCGCUGAGCAGGAAACCGCGUGCGUCCACAAGCAGCCCCAAGGCCUUGUUGUAGGACAGUGGACAGUUUGCUCUCCCGGCUGAGGCUGCCCACCCCAGGGUUCCUGCAGUGCCUCACCUGCCCCCGGAGACGCCGGCCCCUGUCCCUGCCAAGCUUUCCAGGGUCCCCCCAUGCUGGGGUGACAGAGGCAGUCCCCCAAGAAUGAGGUACCCCAGCUGUCCCGUCCUCCUAUAGGCAUAAAACAACCCCCACCCCCGCCACACACACACACACAAGCUGUUUCUGCUUUUGGCCCAGUCAAGCCAAAAACUCCCCUGCUCUGGGUGGGGAUUGUUGACUGACUGUAAGUGCCACGUUUGUGGAGCAUAAUCUCUAAUUCUUGAAACAACUCAGCCUGGAGCGUUUUAUUAUUAUUAUUCCCAUUUUAUCUUUUUUUUUCCAUUUCUCCUAGCCUUGUAAUUAUUACUCCCAUUUUAUAGUUGAGGAAACUGAGGCUUCACAAUGUUGCGUGGCUCCUGGAGAGCUCAUAAAGCCAAUGAGCUAGGGCUGCAAGUGUGGGCUGGGCAAUGACUCCCAGGACGCAAAAAGCCAGGCACAGUGGAAUAGGUUGCCACGGAAUACACUCGUGAACAGAAAACAUUCCAAACCCAAACCAGAGAGAGUGCGUGUGCAUGUGUGUGUACUUUACACACCCAAGAAAGCCCAGCCCUGAUUGCCUGCCUUAGGAGGUAGGAGGAUGCGAGAGACUGAGUGUCCAUGUCCCCCUAGACGCAUAUGUUGAAACCUUCAUCCCAGCGUUAUGGUAUUAGGAGGUGGGGCCUUUGGGAGGUAAAUAGGUUGUGCCGGGGGAGCCCUCAUGAUGGAAUCAGUGCCCUUACCAGAGGCCAGAGGGCUGGUGCCUCCCUGCUGUCACGUGAGGACAUGAUGAGAAGGCAGCCAUCUGCAAGCCGGAAGACGUCCCCUGCCUGAAUCCGAACAUGCUGGCUCCUGAUCCUGGAUUUCCAGCCUCCGGAACUGUGAGAAAUCAAUGUCAGUUGUUGAGAAGCACCCAGUUUAUGGUGUUUUGAGACAGCUGACUGGACUAAGGCAGAACGAAAGAGGGGAAGACUCACUUGUUUCUUCACAGGAUUAAACAGCAAACACCCUCUCCUCAGCCUGGUCAACCCCUCUGCCCAACCCGAGUGGGCCCCGAAGGAACAAGUGGGGACCAGAGUCCUGCUCAUGUGAGUGGUGGGGCCCAGCCCGUUCCCCUAAGACCAGAAUUCUCUCGCUCAGAGCAAAGCCCCGGGGUGCCGGGAUUCUCUCUCUGCUCCCGCUCCCUGGAUGGAGCUUUUAAAAAAGGAGGAUUCCUCACUGCGGCCUCUGCCCCUUGCACUGAGCGCCAACCCGCAUCACAGCUCAGCAAAGGCGCGCGCAGUGAACAGACGGAGGAGGGGUGGCUCCUCGCUGAGCUGAAGGCUGCGGCGACGAAAAUAAACAGCAUGGUUCCUGCUCUCCACGAACCUGGCGCUGCAGACGUGGGCAAACCACACCAAGAGACGCGAGCAACCGAAAUAUAGGGAGAAAAAAAAAGGUGCCCUGGACAGCGGGCUAGAUGUCUCCUGCAGGCUCGAGGACUUCCCGGAGGGGGCGGCGUUUUCUCGGGGCCUGGGAAGAAUGGGCGGGUUUCAGCGGGCGCCUUCUGGGUGACUGCCCGUUUCGGCUUCCCCUGACCCCGUAACAGAGCGGAAGAGGCCCAGAGACGCCAGAGGAGGGGCGUCAGCGGGACACUCAGGCCAAUAAGCUCUGACUCCCGCUGUCUGCAAAAAUGACCGGAUGCAGGAAUGUCACCUAGAACCGGCCAGCUUUCCGACCUCUCCGGUCAAGGACGCAUUCCUAAGAGACGAAGGGAGAAUGACAGAAGUUAAAAACAACCAAACAAAAGCCAGGUUGAGGCCUCUAGGUGGGUCUCCGCUACCGAUGGAUUCAGCCGGUGGGGCUGCAGGAGGUUCCUAUAAGCGUGGUCCCCUCUCCCCGCACCGAGUCCGGCCC
rnacentral:lncRNA from 10 species